rnacentral:rRNA from 1 species
ACUCCUACGGGAGGCAGCAGUGGGGAAUCUUGGACAAUGGGCGCAAGCCUGAUCCAGCCAUGCCGCGUGAGUGAAGAAGGCCCUAGGGUCGUAAAACUCUUUCGCCAGGGAUGAUAAUGACAGUACCUGGUAAAGAAACCCCGGCUAACUCCGUGCCAGCAGCCGCGGUAAUACGGAGGGGGUUAGCGUUGUUCGGAAUUACUGGGGCGUAAAGCGUACGUAGGCGGAUUAGUCAGUCAGAGGUGAAAUCCCAGGGCUCAACCCUGGAACUGCCUUUGAUACUGCUAGUCUUGAGUUCGAGAGAGGUGAGUGGAAUUCCAAGUGUAGAGGUGAAAUUCGUAGAUAUUUGGAGGAACACCAGUGGCGAAGGCGGCUCACUGGCUCGAUACUGACGCUGAGGUACGAAAGUGUGGGGAGCAAACAGGAUUAGAUACCCUGGUAGGAUAGCG